rnacentral:rRNA from 1 species
UUAGUUCGUGGAGUGAUCUGUCUGCUUAAUUGCGUUUCAGAUAUAAAGGGUAUACACGUAGACUAACACGCCGUUAACGCGGUGUUGUUCGGUUGAGUGUUUCAAACCCUGUGAAAGCAACGAACGUGACCGCAGCCCAUUGUUACGUACGAACUUGAUGUACGUUUAAAACUAUGGGGACCGCCAGGGUUUGUUAAACCGGAGGAAGGUUGCGGCAAUAACAGG